UACGUAGGGGGCAAGCGUUGUCCGGAAUCAUUGGGCGUAAAGCGCUCGUAGGUGGUCUGUUAUGUCAGAUGUGAAAGCCCUCGGCUUAACUGAGGAAGUGCACCUGAAACUGGCAGGCUUGAGUACGAAAGAGGGUCGCGGAAUUCCCGGUGUAGAGGUGAAAUUCGUAGAUAUCGGGAGGAACACCGGUGGCGAAGGCGGCGACCUGGUUCGAUACUGACACUGAGGUGCGAAAGCGUGGGGAGCAAACAGG
rnacentral:rRNA from 1 species